UACAGAGACUGCAAGCGUUAUUCGGAUUCACUGGGCGUAAAGGGUGCGCAGGCGGUUGGGUGUGUCAGCUGUGAAAUCCCGAGGCUUAACCUCGGAACUGCGUCUGAAACUACUUGACUAGAGUACUGGAGAGGGUAACGGAAUUCACGGUGUAGCAGUGAAAUGCGUAGAUAUCGUGAGGAACACCAGAGGCGAAGGCGGUUACCUGGACAGUUACUGACGCUCAGGCACGAAAGCAUGGGGAGCAAAAGGG
rnacentral:rRNA from 1 species